GGAAACUAGUCUAGACACAUUCCUUAAUGUGUAUAGGACUUGAAAACAUCAAAAUACCAUGAUCCAUGAGGGUUUACGACCGUAAACCCUAAGGAAAAUGGUCUUAGGGUCGUAAACUCCUCAAAGGAGGGAAAUGGUGCCCUAACUUCUUCCUUAGGCUUAUACAUCAAGUAGAAAUGCUUCUAGGCAAUUAUAAACCUUCAAAUCAAGAAAUGGACAAAGGAGUAUGAGCUUACGAACGUAAACUCAUGGGUUUACGACCGUAAACUCAAUGAGUUGAGGUCACAAUACCGUAAACACAAGAAAGGGGUUCUUUUGAACCCUAAACCCAAUAGCUUUGUCCUACAACACUUAGAUGCAAUCCUGGGACUUAUAACACUUAUAUAAAGUGUUUAACUUGUCUUAGGAUGUUAUAACUUUGUAAAUUAGUUGUUUAAAGACUAAUUGGAUACAUAUAUGUGCGUUUAUAUGUUAACUAGGAUCAUUGUGUGUGUAUAAGUCUUCACUUGACACCUAACAAUCCUAUAUCUUCAGUUCAUCCAAAUCGCUCACUACAGGUGAGUUCAUACCCCUUAAAUUGACCUUUUAAUGUUUUUAAAUUCUUUUAUGGGGGGAUACAAGUUGAAUACUUAUAGUUAUUAUAUCAAUCACAUGUGAUUAAUAGCUACCAAACAAGUGGUUUUCUUACUUUUCAAACUGUGUUAUCAAACUGUUUUGCUUCAAACUAUUUUACAAACUCCUCUGUUGUCAAAUAAUUUAACUUCAACUCUUUUCAUACUUUUAUAUUUUCAAACACAUGCCUUUGUAUGUAUAGUUAUAUAAGUAAUUUUUAAAGGAUUUAGGAUGGCUAGCUCGCAUUAUCUCCUUUUCCUUGUUAAGAUGUGGCGUUAGGGCAUCGGGUAUCCGUCCGAAGGUCGUCUAAAUAUUAGUUAUAUAUUAUGUAUACAUAUAUAGACAUAAAAGUUCCACCAUCCAAUUCAAUACUCUUGAGUAGCAAGGGUAUACAUUGAUGAUCAUUAUGUACAAGUCAUAUUACUAGUAAACUACGAUAGGCAUAGUUUAGGAAGAUACUAAUGCUAUUACAAGAACGAAGAAUCAUACAAUUAGUCGGUUCAUUCAUGAGUUAAUACUUGCUAGAUAGAGAGAGAGCACAAUACAGCUAGUACACACAGUAAAUUACUAUACAUGCUAGAUAGAGAAAUAACACACAUUACAGCUAGUACACGCAGAACUUGACAAUACAUACAGGCUAGACAGAGAAAGAACACACAAUACAGCUAGGACAUACAUUACAUAUACAUUCAUGCAGUUAUUGUUGGUUUUUGAGCACUCUAACACUCCUAAGUGUACAUGCAACCCUAAAUACCUUGGAUCUAUGUUUUCUCUAUUAUACAUGCAAAUAUGAACUUUCGAAGGUAUUCAUCCUAACUAGCAUAAUAAUAUGAUUCAUAUGAAUAUAUAUCAAUUUACAAUUACAUACCUCUUUAAUGUAGAAAGUAUUCAUGAAGCUUGACUUCCUAGUACCCCAAGUGUGACACCUCAAAUGGUUCACACAACACCAGAUACACUUGGAAUAACUUGAGAGAAACUUGUACACUCCUUGAAAUCGUCUAGCCCUCACACUCACACAUAGUGCACGAGUUAUUGAACCAUGGUAUUCUUUUAUAUGGUGGUUGUUAGGGUUACACCAUGUAACUCAUGACUUUACCUAUUCCUUAUGCUCCAUGGAUUUUAACCUCCAUGGAGUAUCCAUGGGUCACCCCAUGCACUUAGUCCAACACAAGGAAUCUUGGAUCACAAGCCCACAUAUAUAAUAAUGAAUGAUUUACACAAUCAACCCAUAUAUUUAAUUACUCUCCUUUUGAUCACUUAAUUAAUUCCAAAUUAAUUCUUGAUCAAUACCAAUUAAAUAACCUUAUUAAUAUAUUAGAACUUAUAAUAUAUUAACAAACCUUAAGUGUUAUUUCUCUCAUUUUAGUCUAUCCAAAUGCAUGAUGCCAUGCAACCCAAAUGGACCAUGUCGGGUCGGGUCAAGUCUUACCAAUUAUAGUUAUGGACAUAGACAUUAAUCCAACAGUCUCCCACUUGGAUAAGUCUAAAACUAUUACUGCGUAUGACUUCAAGAACCGACUGGCAAUCGUAGCUCUCAAAAGCUUCUGUCGAACUCUGACCUUGUAGAUGAACUCUGACCUUUGUCAAUGACUUGUCCAUUAGAUAAGGGAUCAUAUAUUCCUCCAUUCUAGAUAUCAUAUGGACUGAGACAUGGAUUAUAAUCAUUCUCUCUGUCCAUUUGUUGUUUCCCGAUUUCCGAUUUAUGACGACUGACUAAUUGAACAAAUCAAAUCAGUCCUGGCCCGGCCGAGCACUUCCAUUUGUCAUCAUCAAAUCAUCGAGGGGCCCACAGAUAUCGCUUUUAUCCCGAAGGUAAAAGGAACGGAUAAACUUCGACUCAUAUGGCUUGUUCUACUACUUGUUGAAUCAUACACAAAGGCACGUUUUAUAGCACCGAGUUACCAAAUGCGUUUUCGUGCAAUCAAUGUACAACCAACUCAUAGUAACAACUCAUAUCUCUAGGUUUGAAGAAUAUAAGAUAUUAUCGUCUCAUGAUCACUCGUGAUAAAAUCCAUGAAGUGAUUCCAAUGAGCGCGGGUUGAAUCCAAUACUCAGAACUUAUGAGCACUCAUGAGUGUUGUAGCCCUUUGUCCAACACCUUAGACCUCUACAAGCCAACCCAUGACAGUCUUAAUUCAUAUCUACUUCCAACAUAUGACCGACUGUGGAUGGUUUGAAUAACUUAGUCAUCCAGAACAAUGACCUAGUUAUGAAGGAAGUCAAAACACGCAAAGUGACACAAAAUAAUAAUUGAAUCCAAUAAGGUAUCAAAACCUAUGAACAUAAAUAAAACACCUUUUAUUUAUCACCAUAUGAUUACACAUUAUUCAUUGUAUAUUGUUUCAGCUAUCAACUUUAUUCUUGAAUUUAAAACAAUAGUUGUCCCAUGCUCCAAGCAUGUACACUAUGUUUUCUUAACACUAGUCAUGCCAUACACCAAGUAUGCAUACUAUGUUUGUCUAUGAUCUUUACUUUGUGAACUAGAUCAAUUGAACAUAACUUCAAUGAUUCUCUUUUCACACUCCCAAAUCCUUACUGCAAAUGCAAGAAUUCCAAAUUCAUGCCAUUUACUGAAAUCUGUUAGAUUCUAAACUUAUAUGGAUUGAUCCUCUUGUAAUGAUUAUCCACAAAGUCGCAAAGACUUGACAACAACCAUUACAGAGCAUUCCAAAAGAGAUCAGCUCCUUGGAAACAUCCUUCUUCCAUUAAGUUUCCAAAUAUUACACAGAUUGAAUAAUUUCUAACUUUGAAGCAUUUCCAGAUUCCAUUUUGACUAUCACUUCUGAACAAGAGUUGCCUCCUUACAGAUUAUGUCAAUAUGGUCCUUCUAGAAUUAUCACUAUACUUCCAACUGUCCUUGAGCAACAAAUCUUUGGUAAACCUUAAAUUGUCCUCAACAAUUGUUUAAUCCUGAUAAACGUAGGAAACCAUUGGAGUUCUAGGUGGUGACCGUCUUCUAUUGAAGGUCUCACCCUGGAAGGUCUGUCCGACGAGACUCUUGUAAUCCCCCUCGACGAGAUCGAGAUCAACGAGAGCCUCAACUACGUGUAAGAACCAGUGGAGAUCAUGGACUAGGUUCCCUGGAAAGCAAACAAAACAAAGUCGUAUCCCGAUAAUGAAGGUUCGCUGGAACGCCAAGGGAGGACCUGAAUUCACUUGGGAUCGUGAGAAUCAGAUGAAACUGAAAUAUCCUCGUCUUUUUACUUAGUUAUUUGUAACUACUUAUUUGCUUUAACUCUAAUUUCGGGACGAAAUUCCUUCUAAGGAGGGGAUGAUGUGACAACCCGAAAUUUCUAUUCUUUACGACAUUUCCAUUCAAUAGAAGUCAGAACAGUAUUGUUAGUUUUUAGACUUUUUAGAAUAAGUUUGAGUAUUUUAGGAUUAACAAUUUAGGAGAUAUCAGGAGAGAGGAUGCCCUAGACUUUAUUGUGCAACAAUAAAGUCCCGACACAUCAAAAUAUAGGAGUUUACGGCCUAACCAAUGGUGUUUACGGCCGUAAACCCCAAGGAAUGGGGUAUAUAAGUGAAACUUAGUCAUUUAUAUCAUUUUUCCACCUUUUCAAGAACAAACCUCAAACUCUCUCAAGUAUCAUCAAAGUUUUCUUCAAGAUCUUCAAUCUAGUAAGUGUUUCUAGCCCUUUCAAGUUAUUAUAUCACCUAAUCAAGUGUUUUAACACACAUCCAUCCAUGAAAAUGUUCCAAAAGGUUGUUCUUCAAGUUUCACCAAGAACACACACUAGUGUUCUUGGACUUUUGGCUCAUUUCAAGCUUCUAUAUUGUAAGUACUUCUGUCCUAGAGUAUCAUAGAGCUUAUUAUACUUCCAUAUAUCAAGAAAACACAAAGAAACACUAAGAUCAAAGUUGUUUAUGGUCCAUCAACUCUGUGAACCGUAAACCCUUCUUAAGGGGCAAAAGUGACCCUAGUCCUUUCCUUCCCUUGGGAAACUAGUCUAGACACAUUCCUUAAUGCGUAUAGGACUUGAAAACAUCAAAAUACCAUGAUCCAUGAGGGUUUACGACCGUAAACCCUAAGGAAAAUGGUCUUACGGCCGUAAACUCCUCAAAGGAGGGAAAUGGUGCCCUAACUUCUUCCUUAGGCUUAUACAUCAAGUAGAAAUGCUUCUAGGCAAUUAUAAACCUUCAAAUCAAGAAAUGGAUAAAGGAGUAUGAGCUUACGACCGUAAACUCAUGGGUUUACGACCGUAAACUCAAUGAGUUGAGGUCACCAAAGCGUAAGCACAAGAAAGGGGUUCUUUUGAAC
rnacentral:lncRNA from 1 species